GACACGGUGACGUGGGGCGGAUCCCUGAAAACCGGUCUCAGUUCGGAUCGCAGUCUGCAACUCGACUGCGUGAAGGUGGAGUCGCUAGUAAUCGCGGAUCAGCAACGCCGCGGUGAAUGCGUUCCCGGGCCUUGUACACACCGCCCGUCACACCAUGAGAGUCGGGAACACCCGAAGUCCGUAGUCUAACCGCAAGGAGGGCGCGGCCGAAGGUGGGUUCGAUAAUUGGGGUGAAGUCGUAACAAGGUAGC
rnacentral:rRNA from 1 species